CCACAAACGGCGGCUCAUCGUUGAGUUUAAUGGAAAUUGUUAGUACAAAUUAUACUUUAUCCAUCUGAAAUCUGAAACAUCAUAGAUAACACGCCGUUUUGAGCUGGGCUUAGUGCUCUUUUUGCAGCCCCUGAAGAUCCUGGUGGGAAAACCACAGAAAGGGAGCCAUGUUUCUGUACAACAUCACCCUGCAGCGUGCCACUGGCAUCACUCAUGCCAUCCAUGGGAACUUUUCAGGAACCAAGAUGCAGGAGAUCGUUGUUUCCAGGGGAAAGAUCAUAGAAUUAUUGCGGCCAGAUGCCAACACGGGAAAGGUUCACACUCUGCUCACAGUGGAGGUGUUUGGUAUCGUCAGAUCCCUGAUGGCCUUCAGACUCACCGGAGGAA